rnacentral:rRNA from 1 species
UACAGAGGUCCCAAGCGUUGUUCGGAUUCACUGGGCGUAAAGGGUGCGUAGGUGGUGAGGUAAGUCGGAUGUGAAAUCUCCGAGCUCAACUCGGAAAUGGCAUUGGAAACUACCUUGCUCGAGGGUUGGAGGGGGACUGGAAUGCUUGGUGUAGCAGUGAAAUGCGUAGAUAUCAAGCGGAACACCAGUGGACGAAGGCGAGUCCCUGGACAACUCCUGACACUGAGGCACGAAAGCUAGGGGAGCAAACAGG